rnacentral:rRNA from 1 species
UACGUAGGGUGCGAGCGUUAAUCGGAAUUACUGGGCGUAAAGCGUGCGCAGGCGGUUUUGUAAGCCAGAUGUGAAAUCCCCGGGCUUAACCUGGGAAUGGCAUUUGGGACUGCAAGGCUGGAGUGCGGCAGAGGAGACUGGAAUUCCUGGUGUAGCAGUGAAAUGCGUAGAUAUCAGGAGGAACACUGGCGGCGAAGGCUGGUCUCUGGGCCGUAACUGACACUGAGGAGCGAAAGCGUGGGGAGCGAACAGG